rnacentral:rRNA from 1 species
GGUUAAGCGACUAAGCGUACACGGUGGAUGCCCUGGCAGUCAGAGGCGAUGAAGGACGUGCUAAUCUGCGAUAAGCGUCGGUAAGGUGAUAUGAACCGUUAUAACCGGCGAUUUCCGAAUGGGGAAACCCAGUGUGAUUCGUCACACUAUCAUUAACUGAAUCCAUAGGUUAAUGAGGCGAACCGGGGGAACUGAAACAUCUAAGUACCCCGAGGAAAAGAAAUCAACCGAGAUUCCCCCAGUAGCGGCGAGCGAACGGGGAGCAGCCCAGAGCCUGAAUCAGUGUGUGUGUUAGUGGAAGCGUCUGGAAAGGCGCGCGAUACAGGGUGACAGCCCCGUACACAAAAAUGCACAUGCUGUGAGCUCGAUGAGUAGGGCGGGACACGUGGUAUCCUGUCUGAAUAUGGGGGGACCAUCCUCCAAGGCUAAAUACUCCUGACUGACCGAUAGUGAACCAGUACCGUGAGGGAAAGGCGAAAAGAACCCCGGCGAGGGGAGUGAAAAAGAACCUGAAACCGUGUACGUACAAGCAGUGGGAGCACGCUUAGGCGUGUGACUGCGUACCUUUUGUAUAAUGGGUCAGCGACUUAUAUUCUGUAGCAAGGUUAACCGAAUAGGGGAGCCGAAGGGAAACCGAGUCUUAACUGGGCGUUAAGUUGCAGGGUAUAGACCCGAAACCCGGUGAUCUAGCCAUGGGCAGGUUGAAGGUUGGGUAACACUAACUGGAGGACCGAACCGACUAAUGUUGAAAAAUUAGCGGAUGACUUGUGGCUGGGGGUGAAAGGCCAAUCAAACCGGGAGAUAGCUGGUUCUCCCCGAAAGCUAUUUAGGUAGCGCCUCGUGAAUUCAUCUCCGGGGGUAGAGCACUGUUUCGGCAAGGGGGUCAUCCCGACUUACCAACCCGAUGCAAACUGCGAAUACCGGAGAAUGUUAUCACGGGAGACACACGGCGGGUGCUAACGUCCGUCGUGAAGAGGGAAACAACCCAGACCGCCAGCUAAGGUCCCAAAGUCAUGGUUAAGUGGGAAACGAUGUGGGAAGGCCCAGACAGCCAGGAUGUUGGCUUAGAAGCAGCCAUCAUUUAAAGAAAGCGUAAUAGCUCACUGGUCGAGUCGGCCUGCGCGGAAGAUGUAACGGGGCUAAACCAUGCACCGAAGCUGCGGCAGCGACGCUUAUGCGUUGUUGGGUAGGGGAGCGUUCUGUAAGCCUGCGAAGGUGUGCUGUGAGGCAUGCUGGAGGUAUCAGAAGUGCGAAUGCUGACAUAAGUAACGAUAAAGCGGGUGAAAAGCCCGCUCGCCGGAAGACCAAGGGUUCCUGUCCAACGUUAAUCGGGGCAGGGUGAGUCGACCCCUAAGGCGAGGCCGAAAGGCGUAGUCGAUGGGAAACAGGUUAAUAUUCCUGUACUUGGUGUUACUGCGAAGGGGGGACGGAGAAGGCUAUGUUGGCCGGGCGACGGUUGUCCCGGUUUAAGCGUGUAGGCUGGUUUUCCAGGCAAAUCCGGAAAAUCAAGGCUGAGGCGUGAUGACGAGGCACUACGGUGCUGAAGCAACAAAUGCCCUGCUUCCAGGAAAAGCCUCUAAGCAUCAGGUAACAUCAAAUCGUACCCCAAACCGACACAGGUGGUCAGGUAGAGAAUACCAAGGCGCUUGAGAGAACUCGGGUGAAGGAACUAGGCAAAAUGGUGCCGUAACUUCGGGAGAAGGCACGCUGAUAUGUAGGUGAAGUGAUUUACUCAUGGAGCUGAAAUCAGUCGAAGAUACCAGCUGGCUGCAACUGUUUAUUAAAAACACAGCACUGUGCAAACACGAAAGUGGACGUAUACGGUGUGACGCCUGCCCGGUGCCGGAAGGUUAAUUGAUGGGGUCAGCGCAAGCGAAGCUCUUGAUCGAAGCCCCGGUAAACGGCGGCCGUAACUAUAACGGUCCUAAGGUAGCGAAAUUCCUUGUCGGGUAAGUUCCGACCUGCACGAAUGGCGUAAUGAUGGCCAGGCUGUCUCCACCCGAGACUCAGUGAAAUUGAACUCGCUGUGAAGAUGCAGUGUACCCGCGGCAAGACGGAAAGACCCCGUGAACCUUUACUAUAGCUUGACACUGAACAUUGAGCCUUGAUGUGUAGGAUAGGUGGGAGGCUUUGAAGUGUGGACGCCAGUCUGCAUGGAGCCGACCUUGAAAUACCACCCUUUAAUGUUUGAUGUUCUAACGUUGACCCGUAAUCCGGGUUGCGGACAGUGUCUGGUGGGUAGUUUGACUGGGGCGGUCUCCUCCUAAAGAGUAACGGAGGAGCACGAAGGUUGGCUAAUCCUGGUCGGACAUCAGGAGGUUAGUGCAAUGGCAUAAGCCAGCUUGACUGCGAGCGUGACGGCGCGAGCAGGUGCGAAAGCAGGUCAUAGUGAUCCGGUGGUUCUGAAUGGAAGGGCCAUCGCUCAACGGAUAAAAGGUACUCCGGGGAUAACAGGCUGAUACCGCCCAAGAGUUCAUAUCGACGGCGGUGUUUGGCACCUCGAUGUCGGCUCAUCACAUCCUGGGGCUGAAGUAGGUCCCAAGGGUAUGGCUGUUCGCCAUUUAAAGUGGUACGCGAGCUGGGUUUAGAACGUCGUGAGACAGUUCGGUCCCUAUCUGCCGUGGGCGCUGGAGAACUGAGGGGGGCUGCUCCUAGUACGAGAGGACCGGAGUGGACGCAUCACUGGUGUUCGGGUUGUCAUGCCAAUGGCACUGCCCGGUAGCUAAAUGCGGAAGAGAUAAGUGCUGAAAGCAUCUAAGCACGAAACUUGCCCCGAGAUGAGUUCUCCCUGACUCCUUGAGAGUCCUGAAGGAACGUUGAAGACGACGACGUUGAUAGGCCGGGUGUGUAAGCGCAGCGAUGCGUUGAGCUAACCGGUACUAAUGAACCGUGAGGCUUAACCUU